GAUGCGGACCCAUUCAUUUCAAUAGGGCCGCAAAAGAUGCGGAUAGCAUUCAGUAUGCUGUCCGCAUCCGCAAUUCCAUUCUGUUCCGUUAUGUCCUACUUUUGGCCGCAAAUUGCGGUCCGUGGCCCCAUUGUAUUCAAUGAGUCCGCAAAAAUGCGGAUGACAUGCGGAAAGGUACCAAAUGUCAUCCGCAAUUGCGGAUCCGCAGGAAGUUAAAAAAAAAUUGCUCCGUGACCUUCAGCACCAGGGAGAGCUGAGGAGAAGAAGUGGUGUGAAGUCACAGAUAGUGAAACUAAUGCAAAAUGACGUCUUUUGAGGUAGAAAAAAUGAUAAUUCUGAUACAGGAGAGGCCUGCCUUGUGGGACACAAGAGCCGAAGUCUACCAUGACUGGAUCAUGAAGGACCGAGCAUGGGAAGAAAUUGCCAAAUAGCUGGUAGCAACAGCAUGGGACUCUGCAUCAGUGUCCAAGAAAGAAAAAAUAAUCCAGCAAAUCAAAAAGAGAUGGAAUACCUGCCGGGACCAAUUCUGCAGGGAAUUAAAUAUUAAAAGCAAGAGUGGUGAUGGAGCCAUAAACAAACAAAAAAUAACUAUAUGUAUACCCGGCACCUUCAAUUUCUUAUUCCAAUAAUGGAUUUAAGAAGAACUGUGGACAACCUCUCGGAUACUUCAAAGCCAGAUCGGAAAAUCAAGAAGAGGUCACAGAAGUAUGCUAUUCAAGAACCAGUCCAGGCCAAUCUAGAACCCAGCCAGCAACAAAGAGCAGCACCUGUUAGCCGUUCAUCUGCCAGACGAGGCCAAAGGGUCAUAACUAGUUCCGGUUUAGAUCUCCGUGAUCAGGUAGAUAUGAUGGUUAUGGAGUAUCUAAACCGGAAUCUGUCUGACGGCAAGGAAAGAAGUAGCUUUAAAAGGGCUCGCUCCUUCCUUGCGCCGCGUGCCAGAUGAACGGCAAACACAGUGCCUUUCUGCGUUGGUCAUGGUAAUAGAUGAAUUUACGGACCCUGCAGAGCCACAUGACGUUCUUCACUUUUUAGAAAAAAGAAGAGAUCAAAGAUUAAACGUCAUAACUCCUCAUUCCCGUCUUAACAGACCGGACACCCCAAUUGUGCACACCCCUGGCCCAUAUACUAGGGAAUUAUUUGACUUAUAAUUGUUUUUUGCUUUAAAGUAUAACUGUCAUAUAUUUUUUUUUGGGGGGGGGAGUAUUGGAUUGU